rnacentral:lncRNA from 1 species
UGAAAUUCGUGUACAAAGAAGAGCAUCCGUUCAAGAAACGGGCGGCUCCGAGAGCAAGAAGACUGGAAAGAAAUACCCGGACCGGGUGCCGGUGAUAGUAGAAAAGGCUCCCAAAGCUCGGAUAGGAGACCUGGACCAAAAGAAAUACCUGGUGCCUUCUGAUCUCACAGCUGGGCCACAAUGGGUCAGCUCUACCAGGAACACCAUGAAGACUUCUUUCUCUACGUUGCCUACAGUGACCAAAGUGUCUACAGUCUGUGAU